rnacentral:rRNA from 1 species
CGUGGGACAUCUACCCAGAGGUGAGGAAUACCGGCGAGAAAUCGCCGACAAUACCGCAUACGCUCUCCCAAGAGAGCAAAGCUCGCAAGAGCGCCCCUGGAUGAUCCUGCGGUCGAUUAGCUAGUUGGUGAGGUCAAAGCCCACCAAGGCGACGAUCGAUAGCUGGUCUGAAGGACGAUCAGCCACACUGGGAUUGAGAACGGCCCAG